AAUGAUACAAGUUUGAAGGGACAGGUGGCUGGCCCUGACUUGAAUGCUACACAACCUAUACAUGUACUGAAACAUCUCAAAGUACCACAUAAGAGGGACAAUUUUCGCCAAUUAAAAAUAAAUAAGCUGGUCAGGUGUGGCGACGUGCACUAAAAGACAGGCAAGUAGAUUUUUGAGAAGGAGGAGGAGGAGGGAAGGAGGAAGAAGAGGAAGAAGGAGGGAGAUGGGCGAGAAGAGCAGCAGCAGCCACCUCUGCCGUAUUCCCAGCACCGGGGAAGCAAACACAGUCAUCCCUGGGCUUGCGGGCCAGCCCAGCCUAGCUUACUAGGCAGGUUCCAAGCCAGCGAGAAACCCUGUCUCAACAAGGAAGAUGCCAUCUGAUGAAUGAUAGCCAAGGCUGUCCUCUGACGUGCACAUGGACAUGCACACAUAUGCACAUCCACAUGCACACAAGUAUAUAUGUACAUAUGGUACAUGUGCAUAUAAAUAAAGCAAGCUGGAUGUUGGACAAAGGCCUGUAUGUAAUUCCAGGUACUCUGUUGAUCACAAGUUCAGUGCUGGCCUGGACUAGAUUGGAUUCCAGGCCAACCUAAACAACUUAGCGAGACCUUAUCUCAAGAAAUAAGGCCCAGAGACAAGAGUGCCUGCCUAGCCCAAGUGAGGCCCAAGGUUUGAUCCCCAGUGCCCCAGAACAAGCAAGCCAAGUUGUAGAGCUGGCUGGGAAGGCAGGUCAGCCCACUCCCCACUCACUCUGAAUCCACUCCAGCCACCGGUCUCUUCCUCCUUACCCUCAUUAGGCUCAGACCUCCAUCAUCUCUUUGCCUCUCCAGACAUCUCUUGGUAGUGCUGACAUACUGGAGUGUAGCCCCUCAUUCUGGCAGAGCCAGGGAUUAAGGAUGAGAAGCCGCACAGCAUCAUCCCCAUUAGCUCCCCCACAUUCUGCACACAUCUCUAUCAAGAUUUCUUGCAAAUGGGGCACUGUAUACAUCAAGGCAUACAUUUUUUCACAUGUAGGCAUACCAAAACCCUGGGAAGGGGUACAGCAGGAGAGCAACAGAAUACAGUUAGAAUACGGUGGGUGUUUACUUUCUUCUCACCUAAUUUUCCAAAAUUAUUGUCUAUGAGAAUUCCAUGCAUUACAUUUAUAGAGAAAAAUCCAGUAAGUUAAAAUGAAUAGUAAGUACUUACUAGUGCCUCUGGGCAAAAUGAACUCUGAUGCUACCUGUGUUUUACAGCAGACAGAUAAUAGAUGGUCCAUCUGAAGUAUUUUAUGAGGCUUUGUGAUGUAAGAAUAUAUUUGGAACUGGGAAUAGAAGUGCAUGCCUGUAAUCUCAGCCCUGAGGAAGCUGAGGUAGGUGGAUUGUGAGUUUACAGCCAGCCUGGGCUAUAUACUAAGAAACACUGUAUCCAAUAAAUACUUGCUAGUGGGGGCUUAUAUGUGCCAUUGACUUGUGGCUGAAGCCCCUAAGUAGCUGGCCUCAGGAUGGAGAGGAACCAACAUUAGAUAAGAUUGGAACACUCAGCCUUACUCCUAGGCUCUGAGGAACAGACAGGGGCCGCAGGCUGAGCUGAUCACCAGUGGCUAGUGGCUUAAUUAUGCCUAUGUAAAGCAUUUCCCUAAGUUCUGUGAGUUGUUCCAGCAAAUGAUUGAUGCCAGUUGGGGGGUGGGGUCAUAGCCUUGAUUUUACAGCUCACUGGUCAGAAGUACAAGCGUCUGCAUGGGAGACAGUCCGCGAGGGACUGUGCUCUUGAUCUGUGGGGUGGGCACCAACUCUAGGGUCGGAAUUAAACUGAACUGUUGGAUACUCAGCAGCUGAAAAAUGGCUGGCAUGGAAGAACUACACAUCUGACCAUGGAAUAUAAAAAAGAGGAAAAACCAUAGGCUGUUUUUUUUUUCCUUCACAAAGGAUACCUGCUUAAAACCUCGCCAUUCUGCCAUGAGGAAGCCCAGGCUACAGGAGGAGCCACUGUGAGCCUCAGACGAGACCCAGCUGAGGCUGCAGUUCACAACCAGUACAAGACCCUAAAAACUCCUCCAAAAGCCUGUGUCCAGCCACUGUCUGGCUCACUGCAUGAGAGGCCCUGAGUAGCAUAGUCAACCCACAGAAUCUUGGACUGUGGACUCUCCAGAAAUCAAACAGAAGCACAGCCUCAUCUGAGAAGAUGAAAUGCAUCUGAAAGAGACGAGAUCUGCAUCAAAGGAGGCUUGGACACAGAGGUCCUGCUUCCUAAUGCUCUCUAGCAGUUACCCUGGGGCUGCAGGACUUACAUGCUGGAAGGUCCAUUAGAAGCCAGAUGGAGGAGGAGGGCUUGCCCAAGUGGGUCAAUAGCACCUAUAACCGAGCCCUGCUCCAUGUGGAAGUGAAGAUGGGGAGUGCCUAUCCUCACAAGGCCAACCAGACUUGGGAUGACACAGAUGUGAAGGUAGCAGAGAUGCAGUCCCACUGGGAGGAAAGAAGGGAAGAAGCUGGGAAAGGAGAAAAGCACAGGAGAAAAGACCUCCAUGCAGUCACAGGGCUGGUGCUCAGGCCUUUAAGGAUAAAGAAACGAAGCAAACAAGAUCAUGGUAUGUGAAGACAGGCAAGAAAAGCCAGUGCUUGAGGGACUGCAGCUGAGAAACAGGGUGCAAGCGAGGGGGAAGAGGUGAGAGGGAGGCUGCGGAGCGGAACACAGACAGGUGUGCACGAUCCUGGUUCCACACACACACAGGGAAGUGCCGGUGAACCGCUGAGUGUAGCAUCCGUCAACAGGUCCCACACGGCCCAGGUCGCUUAGUGAAGGACAUCAUGUUCCCUUAAGACCCCAGAGCUUUCCUGAAAAUGCAGGUGCCUGGCCUCCUUAGACCUGUCAAUCAGAAGCCAGGCGAAGAGCCAGGUGACCUUAACGAGACCCAUUCGAGGAAAGGGCUCUGAUGCUCACUCAGCGUGGUACAGUUGGAACAGAGGAGCAAAGCCUAGUGCACAGAACACCCUGUAUCUGCCUUCUUCUGCUGCUGGGACCUUGAAGCCACACAGCAAGCUCCUGCUGGAGCUCAGUCUGUCUGUCUGUAACAUGGGAACUGAACCCAGGAAGCCUUUUCCCCUGGUUUGGCUUCACUUUCUCGGAUCGCUGUGAACUUUGUACAGACAGGCUCCCAUUGUGAGCUUCAUUCCUACUCGGAAUUCCUACAAUAAAGGACAAGAGAAAACAAAAA